UUCAGCUCAAAACAUUGUCUUUGAUUAGACUUAGCACCUUCCCUUUUGCCCUUUUACAUUAUUUUGGCAGGCUGUGCAGGUGUAAAAGCUCCAUCUCCACUGCAGCUCCAUCAUGUGUGAAGCAGCCUUGUUGUGUGUUCUUCCAUGGCUGCCUCAGAGCUGUGAGAGAAAACUUCAGAGUUCCAGUCCCAGCUUUGGAUCUGCCCAUCCUGCCUUCUAAAUGAAUGACAGCCCUUUGUACGUGGUACUCAGAUGGAGUCUGGUACAUUGAAGUUAUUCCCUACUACAAGUUGGGAAGAAACAUGAAGGCACUGUACAGCACAAAGAUGUUUGAACAUAGUCAUGCCUUUAUUAUUGUUACUUGAGCAAUAUGCAAUGCUGAAAAUGUGGGUAAGAUGGAGAUCAAAAUGUAUCAUAUUUUAAUUGAAUUCAGUUAUGCUUUUCAAAUGGUUCUUCUAUCCCAGUGGGAAUGAUCCAUGGCAAGAUAAUGUUGCUUAAUAGUUUUAUUUCUAAAAUGCACCUUCUUCUCUCUAUGCAUGCAAGUGCUUUACAGCUCAAUAAAAACCAUUGUGAAACAGACA
rnacentral:lncRNA from 1 species